rnacentral:rRNA from 1 species
UACGAAGGGGGCGAGCGUUGUUCGGAAUUAUUGGGCGUAAAGAGCUCGUAGGCGGUUUGUCGCGUCUGCUGUGAAAAUCCGGGGCUCAACCCCGGACUUGCGGUGGGUACGGGCAGACUAGAGUGUGGUAGGGGAGACUGGAAUUCCUGGUGUAGCGGUGAAAUGCGCAGAUAUCAGGAGGAACACCGAUGGCGAAGGCAGGUCUCUGGGCCACUACUGACGCUGAGAAGCGAAAGCGUGGGGAGCGAACAGG